GAUGAACGCUGGCGGCGUGCCUAAUACAUGCAAGUCGAGCGAACAGACGCGGAGCUUGCUCCUCUGACGUUAUCGGCGGACGGGUGAGGAACACGUGGAUAACCUACCUAUAAGACUGGGAGAACUUCGGGAAACCGGAGCUAAUACCGGAUAAUAUAUUGAACCGCAUGGUUCAAUAGUGAAAGACGGUUUUGCUGUCACUUAUAGAUGGAUCCGCGCCGCAUUAGCUAGUUGGUAAGGUAACGGCUUACCAAGGCAACGAUGCGUAGCCGACCUGAGAGGGUGAUCGGCCACACUGGAACUGAGACACGGUCCAGACUCCUACGGGAGGCAGCAGUAGGGAAUCUUCCGCAAUGGGCGAAAGCCUGACGGAGCAACGCCGCGUGAGUGAUGAAGGUCUUCGGAUCGUAAAAAUCUGUUAUUAGGGAAGAACAAAUGUGUAAGUAACUAUGCACGUCUUGACGGUACCUAAUCAGAAAGCGACGGCUAACUACGUG
rnacentral:rRNA from 1 species